ACAAGUGUAGACGUGGAGAGUGCGGAUCAGCACUAUUGCUGUGACUGUGACAGUGGCCCUUCCCCCUUCUCUGUCUUCAGCCAAUGGUGGGACGAAGCAGGUUCCAGGAAGGCAGGGCACAAGACGCAGAGUCACGUGGCACCACAGGACCCCUGCUUGCUGCUAUCUGUGUGAGCCUCCCCCUGUGCUCUUUGAUAUAGGUCUUGGGGAUGUAAUUUGCUGUGUAUGAUUGCUUGCCUUUUCCUUGAUUAUGUAAAUCAGGGACUUUUGCCAGGAACAUUCCAUUCCCGGAAACUAAGCUGGUUCCCUCCCAUCGGCCGACUUGGUUUCAUUUUACUGAAGUUUUUCAAGUGGCAGAGCAGUAAUAACUGUCUGUGCCUCUUGGCAGUGAGAUACCUGGAGUUCAGAACCCUAAACGGUGACAAUGACAGCAGAUGAGUUGGUUUUCUUUGUCAAUGGCAAAAAGGUGGUGGAGAAAAAUGCAGAUCCAGAAACAACCCUUUUGGCCUACCUGAGAAGAAAGUCAAGAAGAGGAAGUGAGGCCUGCAUGGGUUAAAGGACCUGCCUCUCCAUCGUGUCUUCUGGGAAAAUGCUGGCAGAGCCUGGACUAAAGCCUAGAGCCACAAUCUUAACCCCCCACACAUACUGGAAACUCUCCAGUGGUCUGUUGUCAGGCGAUGCUCAUCCUGACCUCUGUCAACAAACCACUUAUGCUCCUAGAGGCAGGGAUGUCUGGUAGCUUAUUCCAAGCACAUAUCUUAGGACAACAAAGGAAGGAAGCGAGCCAGAAAUCAUGGCCUUACCUCCUAGUCACUCACCUCU